rnacentral:rRNA from 12 species
UGUCGUCAGCUCGUGUCGUGAGAUGUUGGGUUAAGUCCCGCAACGAGCGCAACCCUUGUUGUCAGUUGCCAGCAUUAAGUUGGGCACUCUGGCGAGACUGCCGGUGACAAACCGGAGGAAGGUGGGGACGACGUCAAGUCAUCAUGCCCCUUAUGACCUGGGCUACACACGUGCUACAAUGGACGGUACAACGAGUCGCAAGACCGCGAGGUUUAGCUAAUCUCUUAAAGCCGUUCUCAGUUCGGAUUGUAGGCUGCAACUCGCCUACAUGAAGUCGGAAUCGCUAGUAAUCGCAGGUCAGAAUACUGCGGUGAAUACGUUCCCGGGCC